AUGAUGAAUCUGAGACGCAAAGGAGCUGAGAUAGCUCCAGGGGAGAAGAAACACAAUUGAAGAGAGCAUAUCAUUAUGAAGUGCCAAGCCUGGCUGUCCCUGGCAGAAAUGCAACAGAGACUAGGGAGUGAGAGAGACAGGCAAGCAAAAGCUGUAGCAGAUGGUCAGGAGAAGCCCACGGAAGACUCUGCUAGUGAUGGCUCCCUAUUCAGAUCCAAGGGCUGGCGCGGGAGGUAUCAGUGGAGAUAGGAGCACGCCAUCCUCAGCCUCACAGGUUGCUUCGGUUUGAAUUUCAACGAGGGGAGCCUGCCAAGAUCAGGCAGUAAAAUACGGACUGGAUCAUAAAUCCCAGCAGGGGUGGGAGAGCGUAAGACAGAUUGCUAACACCUUUAAAAAGAAAUUUUAAAC
rnacentral:lncRNA from 1 species